UUCUUCAGUGAGAUCCUCUUCUUCUGGAAGCUGGUUUCACAUGGUGGCUUAGAUUUUUCCAUCUUUGUAUCUAGCACCAUUUGAAAUCAGUGUUUUAGGAGUAAGAAUUGCUGCACAGCCAAGG
rnacentral:pre_miRNA from 15 species